rnacentral:rRNA from 1 species
GGUUAGGCUGUUCGCCUAUUAAAGCGGUACGCGAGCUGGGUUCAGAACGUCGUGAGACAGUUCGGUCCCUAUCCUUCGUGGGCGCAGGAGAUUUGCGAGGAUCUGCAUUUAGUACGAAAGGACCGGUGUGGACGAACCUCUGGUGUAUCGGUUGUGGCGCCAGCUGCAUUGCCGAGUAGCUAAGUUCGGUUAGGAUAACCGCUGAAAGCAUCUAAGCGGGAAGCCAACCUCAAGAUUAGAUCUCCCAUGAGAGACGUUGGAGACUACAACGUGAUAGGUCACAGGUGUAAGUACAGCAAUGUAUUCAGCCGAGUGAUACUAAUAACUCGAUCGAAUUUACUGA